rnacentral:misc_RNA from 1 species
UGCCACCAUAAAUUCUAUAUUUGAUCAGGGAAAGGCAAUGACUGAUGCAUUUGAACCAGCCACUAAUCGCAUCCAAGAGAUUGUUGGAAAUGUCUAUGGAGUCAGAGUAACUUUUAUACACCACUGGCUUUUUACCUUCAUCUACAAAUAAUAUAAGACAAAAUAGGAAGAUCAUGCUUUCUGUGAAGAGAUUCAUUGGAAAAUCCCCAC